UACCCAAACUGCAGGUCUCAUAUUUUUCUGCUCUAUAGGAGGUUGAUUCACUUGAGGAGGCUUUACCUUCUGCAUCUGAUUGGAUCUCUGGAUUUACAGAAGAUACAUCUGCGUCUGCCUCUGGAUAUGAGACCCUGGAUCAUUCGGACGAAUGGAUUACUGAUUGCCUUAAUGAUAAUGAGAUGCAUUUCAGCUCUGAUACUAUGAAUACUUCUGGCACAUCUGAUUUUCAAAUUGAUAUCGCAGAGUUUUGCGAGAUUGCACCCGAGUAUGAAAAUAAUUUUCCACAACAACGUGUUUCUACUCCACAGAAGAUAGUUUUCAAAGGUAC